rfam:Lupinus angustifolius cultivar Tanjil chromosome LG04, whole genome shotgun sequence.
GAGAUAUGAUGAUGGGGGUAGCUUGCACAAAGUCUCUUGAAUCUCUCACAAUAUUCAUAUAAACCUUCUACAUGUAGUUGUCUGAUUCCAGAAAUAUAUUUUCUGAUUGC